CCUACGGGAGGCAGCAGUGAGGAAUAUUGGUCAAUGGACGAGAGUCUGAACCAGCCAAGUAGCGUGAAGGAUGACUGCCCUAUGGGUUGUAAACUUCUUUUAUAUGGGAAUAAAAUGUUCCACGUGUGGGAUUUUGUAUGUACCAUCUGAAUAAGGAUCGGCUAACUCCGUGCCAGCAGCCGCGGUAAUACGGAGGAUCCGAGCGUUAUCCGGAUUUAUUGGGUUUAAAGGGAGCGUAGGUGGAUUGUUAAGUCAGUUGUGAAAGUUUGGGGCUCAACCGUAAAAUUGCAGUUGAAACUGGCAGUCUGGAGUACAGUAGAGGUGAGCGGAAUUCGUGGUGUAGCGGUGAAAUGCUUAGAUAUCACGAAGAACUCCGAUUGCGAAGGCAGCUCACUGGACUGCAACUGACACUGAGGCUCGAAAGUGUGGGUAUCAAACAGGAUUAGAUACCCCUGUAGUC
rnacentral:rRNA from 1 species